rnacentral:misc_RNA from 1 species
GAAGAAUUAGACGGAUGAAAAUAUUUUCGGAAACUGAUUAAAACUGCAGCAAGAACAAGAGCCGUGAUCACCAGGAUCAGCCCCCUCCAUACCCAUCUUUUAUCCUUGUGUGGUUCUUUCUCCAUUCAAUUUCAGUUCUCUUCACCGAAAUGUUUCGAAUGAAAUCAUGAGCCUCUCCAUUCUAUGACCGAAUGAUGAGAGACUAG